GGCUGAGAAUGCACUAUCAUGCUUUUUUCAAGCUGCCUUUCCACUGGUUGGCACUCAGCUCCAGCAUUCGCCUUAUUUUUGAUCAUACCUCCUAAAGACACUCACAAAUGAGGUCCAGAACUGCAAGAAAGAUGGGAUAAGUUUAUUUGGAGCAACAGGGGCUAUUUUGAGAGGGAUUAAUAACAACCUGAUGGAAAUAAGUACCUGCUGAUUGGGACUACACAGCACUAGACUGACCAGAGUGGAAGGUGUGCUGAGGAUAAAUACCCACUCUGUGACCUUGGAAAAGAUCCUUGAAUUAUUUCACGUCUCAUUUGCUGGGAAAUGAAGUAGAC
ensembl:lncRNA